UAAUUCGUACGCCCAGGAAUUUUAUUGGCAGAUUUGGAUAUUCUUGUGGCGUGGCAGAUCUUCCCAGGCGACCGUGUAUUUUAUGGGCAUCCACACCGAGGAGAAGCAAUCCUCAUUUCAAGGGCUGCCGUAAGCACGUACCACCACAGAGGGCCAGACAAGCAGAGAUGUAACUCCUCCUGGUCCUGGAGGCUGGAAGUCCAGGAUCACGGUGUCCUCGGCAGGGCUGGCUCCCUCUGAGAGCUGUGAGGAAGGCUGGCUUCCAGACCUCUCUCCCCAGCUCCAGGGCAGUGGUCUCUCCCCGUGCCUCCACAUCAUCUUCACUCUUGUGUAUCUACAUCCAGAUUUCUACCACAGUUUAGCCAGAAUCGUGGGCCACCUCUCCUGGAGUUUGCUGUGGAUCUGUGGACAUGCAAGGCUGGCCCGAUCUUUAUCCCCUUCCUUAUGACCUCCUCUCAUCAGGCUGCUCGCUUAACUAAUGUGCCUAGUGUCUGGUCACCGUCUUCACCUGUUCCAUGGCAACAUUUUUUCUGGUGGCUGUUUUUCAUCUAACUGGAUGCGCUGUGCUGAAGUCACUGGUUUCGUGGAAGGUCAUGAGGGAAAACCAACCGGCAGGAAUACUUUAUGGAGCAGUCAGACUUCCCGAAUCCUGCAGAGGCAUCGAGAUAUAAUCCGCGGGCUAUUUUCCGUCAUACAGGUGGAGCGCAUUCCAUGCUAUUUCAAAAGAGUUUAUUUAUGGUAAAACAUGUGACUUUGGGGGGAGGGGCUGAAGCUCUCUGGUUCUUAUUUCAUAGAAAAGGUUUUCAGCUUUGAAAUUUGAAGUGUUCUUCACCUCCUGUUAAAACAUCAGGGGUAGCAGGGCGCCUCUGUACCGACGCUACCACAGCUUAUCCCGUUGAUACGAAAUGCCUCAUUCAACCAGAUUUUUUGAGAACUAUUGUUCCAGCCACGCAGAAUCAAGAAAGAUACCACAUAAGAAAUAAAUGAUUUCCAUCAUCAAAUUUCUUUUUAAAUCUGACAAGGUCGGGAUCCCUGGGUGGCGCAGCG